ACCUGCCAGGGCUGCAUACAGCUCUAGUCAGAAGGAUGAAGGGCUGAGUUACGCUGCUGGGAUUCAAAGCUGUGGUGCUUCGGAGCAAGUCCUGCAGAGCAGUUCUCCGAAUGGGCAACAGUCUAAACAAUGGAAUGAGCCUGCAGGCUUGGACCAUCCGGCUCAUCUAGUUUCGCUAGGCAGAGCUGCAUCAUUAGCUGGAAGGUGCCGUGUUUUCAAACAGAACUGAAAGUAUCAGACUGUAGAGAAGUGGUCAUGUGAACUCCAGCCACUGGGAGCCACACAGAUCAAGCACCAGUCGAUGCCAAAUAAAAGUUACAGCUCUGGGCUGCAGGGAGCUGGGACACAGAUGAAACAUGGACCCAACGCUGCCACACCAAGUCAGCCGUGCUGGGGUUGGAUUCCAGCUGCAUCCAGCCUCCACUAAGGCAAGAAGCCUACAAAGAAGUCAGCAGCCGCUUGGUAGCAGAUUGCCAGCCACAUCAGAGCGGCUGCAGGAUCACUUACGGCCCAGAUGGUACAAACUGAGCAGGGAUGAGGCUGUGGAGCACAGCAGCAAAAAGCCACUGCCUUUCUAAAAAGAUCACCCCCAGCCAUCCUCCCAGCAGCAAGGUAGAAAAUUAAAAUAAACUCACACCAAGGCGACC